rnacentral:lncRNA from 1 species
CUGAGGAAGUUUUCUUGUUCCAGGGGAGAGGUGUGACAGCAUGAGGCACCGCCUCAGCAUAAGCUCUCUGCGCGAGAAGCCACACACACACAGACGACAUGGCACAAGGGGAAAGCCCUGAAGAGCACACAAAGAUCAGCUUUUAAAAUAGGUGUGAUAAGGCUACACAGUUAAAUUUUGUAAAUACGAAUAGGCACAUUUACAUCACUGGUGUUCAAAUGCACAGUUCAAAUGGAUCCAAUCACUUUUCCAAACAGCCUUCCUUCAUAACACCAUUCAAACAUUCUGCUUAAGUAAAAUCAAGCACUAAAAAUACUCUAAAAAUUCAAAGAGGAAAUGUGUCCAUCUCUUAAGCCAAUGAUGUUACCUGUCUAAGGACCACCUUCCCCCAGCAAAGCAGUCUGGCUGUCACUAAGUUCCUUUUGGUACGAAAAGACAGUUUUUCUCCACCAACAUCAACACUGCCCAAGGCUUUAUUGUUGAAGUCAUAACAGCUGCCCAUUAAGAGGGAAUAAUCUAAGUGCAAAUUUUAGAAGUCACAGCUAUAUACCAUCUCAGUAAAAGAGCCUGAAUUCAUAGGAGAUACUGAACAAAAAUCAAAGAAGAUGCACAUUCCAAGUUCAAUUACAUGUGGUGUUAAUAUAUUAAUAUAUUAGGUCAAAUUAUGUGAAACUUUCACUUUUGUAGAUCAAAAAGGCAAAUACCACAAACUUCCUAUGGUUCAACCUAAUGUAAUUUAGAAGUGUAAACUAUUUAAAAUAUAUGUUGCCCUCUUAAUUAUCUUCUAGACUCUGUUUCUAAGGUGUCAGACCUAAACAUAAAGGCAAAGCUUUUUUCUCUGGAGUGAAAAUUUAGACCACUGCUAUCUAAGAGAACUGCCCUAGACCUAAGCAGUCCUAUGCCACACGUGGCUGCUGAGCACUUGGAAUGUGGUUUGUGUGACCAAAGAAGUGAGUUUGAAAUUUAAUUGAAAAAAAUAUAUAAUGUUUAUUUUUCGGGGGGGGGGGGGGGGGGGGGUGGGAGGGGCAGAGAGAGAGGAGAUACAGAAUCCGAAGCAGGCUCCAGGCUCUGAGCUGUCAGCACAGAAUCUAAUGUGGGGCUCGAACUCAGGAACCAAGAGAUCAUGACCUGAGCCAAAGUUGAACAUUUAACCUUCUGAGCCACCCACGGGCCCCUAAAUUUAAUUUUAAUUAAAAUUUAACCACAUAUAACUGGUGACCACCAUAGUGGAUAGUACAAGUUUAGACACAAUUGCAGUUUUCUCCUGGCCAUGUUAAAGUGUUGAGCAGCUGAUUUUUGCUCUGAGAGAAUAGGAGAUACACCUAGCUAAUACUGAAAUGGAGCCACAUCUUCUCUUGCAACUUCAAAUAUCCACCCUGAGGACAGCUGUUAGACUUUAUUUUACAUUCAUGCACUUAAAACUUGACAGUUUUUUCUUUUAAUAGAAAAAAACAAGAUUACCAAAAAGGCUGGUAGGUUGGCUUAAUAUGAAAUACAUUCUGCCCCUUGUGACUUGUAGACACUUGAGAAGAAAAUAAAGGCUGGAAUGAGAGAUGAACCUGAAAACAGUGCCUAGUCCUAAGGUGCAACCCUCUCUGGGAGUCCCUUUCUCUGAUUCCUUCAUCAGUGCUGCCACUGCCCCCCACCCCACCCCCAAAUCAACAAACUAACCUGGAACACUUGCAGAAAUCACAAAUACCUUUCUUAGAUGGAAUUCUGGUUCCAAAUUUCAAUUUGAGUUAAAUCUUAAUGGAGCCUGUACCUAUGUUUCUUGAACACAGUUUUAAAACCAAGACUGCUAAACUCAAGAAUAGAAACUCUGUUCACAGUGAGAAUAUUUUCAGCUUGCUCUGCUAUCAGGAUAGGCCAGUGGGAGUUGUUAAAACCCAAAGUAGCAAAGACUCAAAUUUCCUUCUGGGAAGUGUAGGUGAUGGUCAAAUCAGCUCUGGAGGUCAGCAUCUCAACUUGAGAUGGCCAAGCAAGAAAUAAGGCAAAAGUGGACAGGUAGUUCCUUCCAUCCAGCACCACAGACAGUGGGGGAACUAGAGUUUGGUUCUAAAGGCAAACAAGCUGUGGUCUCCUCACCUGACAGUAUCUAUACCGUGUAGCUGAGUCACAGACAUUUUUAAACACUAAAUGUAUCUGGACUUUUCUGUACUCUUCUCUCCAUGAAAACACACGCAAGCAAAAAAUAACCCCGAAACAAAAUAAAACUUAAAAGGACUAAUUCUUGAAUUUGCAGUACAGGUACAAGUGAUCCAACAAAUUUAUUUAAUCAGUGCUGAUAAGCAGCAGCCUUGAGAGAUACCAAGAGCAGCAAUCACCUGGUCUACUUAAUGAUGCUCUCCCAGUUACCUCUUACAAUCGAAAAGAACGAUUACUGACAGUCACUGAAAUCUUGUGGGCCACAAAUGAUGUGCGCACAUGAUCCUGGAUUUCGAGUCCACCUGAUCUCCCAUUACAGCUGUGAAAGGCAGCAGGCAGUUCUGCUCUUCGCAAUCAGGAACAUAUCUUGCUUUCAGCAUGUGACAGUAACAAAGCAUUGAUGUAAAUGUGCCUCAAAGUGAGAAUUGAAAACAUUAAUAUAAAAAAAGUCAAAUAGAACUAAGUUCUUGAAACUACAUACAAAAACAAUUAUUACAACUAAAGCAGCAAAUCAAAGUAUCUGCUGAGGUUUUCUGGUAGAACUAAAAAAAAAUUAGUUGGUGCCCAUGUUUAAUAUGUCACUACCAUUGACAAAACUAAACCAAAAAUAGGAAAUUGAAAAGUGCAUAAUGAAAUUAAAUCUCGGAUCAAGUAUUUACGGAAAACUGGAAAUGUUUGUCCGGUAUAGUUGACAAAUAAUGAUUUAAAGGAGGUAUUAAAGUUUAUCUGAUCCAGCUUUGGCCUGACGUUCCACAUAAAAAAGGAUGUAGGCCUUUGCCUUCACAACGGUGUCUUCAUCAGUCAGCGUUACAGUACUGUCAUUGAAAUGGAACCAGCGACCUUCAUGAGUUGCAUAUGCUGUAUAAUGUCCAGAACCGACCCUAUAAGGAAACGUAAAAAAAAAUGAAAGAAAAGGACUACAGAAAUAACAGAAGGAUCUGCGCAAUCAUAUAAUCUGUUAGAUAUGCAAUAAAUUAUAAAUACUGUAAUAAAGAAUAAGCCCUAGGGACUUGUGGUUUAAGAUGGCGGACUAAACUCGUGUGUAUGUUCCUCAAAACUCAAGGAAGUAACAAUGAAUGUGCAGGCAUUGGAAAUAGAGGGAAGAGGGCCAUUGAAUGAGCAGGAACUGAAGAUGUUCUACAUCACCUAAAAGCAGUGUUCACAUAGCACUGGGUUAAUGGAAACACCAAAGGGGUCAAGGAGCUCAACCUAACAAGCAUGCGUCUAGGCUUAUGGACACAUGGAAAAGUGAGGAACAGAUUUCCAUCACAACCUUGGAAAAAACCUGAGCUUAAGAAAGUAAUCUGCCUCCAGGAAAGGGCUUUUCUCUUUCAGCAUGACCCACCCACUCAGCCAUACAGUCAGCCCUAUAGUCAGCCCUCCCAGGUGAGAGAAAAGCCUCAGGUAGAACAGACACUUUUCGUAAAUGCUAGAGAAACCCUUACCAUUUAUCAAUAAUAAUCUCAUCAUCUAUUAGGAUUCUAAAUAGCCCCAAAUCAUCAAACCCUUGGGGGGGCAGCGGUGGGGACAUAGUAUGAAAGAAAAGUACUGGGAAGAACAAGCACUUAACCACUAACAAAUUUAAUUCAGAAAACCAAAGAGCUUUAAAAAUUCUUAUUAAUACCAAUGGUUUAAAAAAGAUAGCGCAACCAUAAAACAAAAAUGUUUGUUAGGAAAAGGAGUUACCAGAAAAAUGGGAUUGCCAUGGUAUUAAAAAUGUCAUCUUCAAUUUGGGUACAGAUAAAAUCCAAAUUGGUGAUUUGGAAAAAUAGGCCAUGGCAGUCUUAAAAAACAGAGAUGGAAAUCAUUAAACAACGGUUAAAAUGUGGAAAAGGACCAGAAAAUUCACUAUAUAAUAGUCACCCCUUGUCCUCAGUUUCCCUUUCCAUGGUUCAGUUUACCACAGUCAGCUGCGGUCCAAGAGAUGAUGCUUUCUAAUAUAUUGUCCAAAGGUCAAGAGAAGCCUAACACUGUCACAAUUAUAAUUAAUAUUAUAAUUGUUUAUAAAUUAAGCUAUCUAGGUAUGUCUGUAUGUACAUGAAAAAAUAAAGUGUAUAUAUAGGAUUUGUUACUAUGAUUGUAAGCAUCCACUUGGGAGUCUUGGAACGUAUCUUUGCAGAUACGGAGGGAUUGCCACACAUAUAACAGGGAGAGAAUGGGGUGGAACAAACAAUAUUUCCAUGAGCUGAGGACACCAAAGAGUGUCCCUAUCAACUACUAAGCCAGGAAUACAUCUACUAUAAUUUCUUAAAUCCGAAGAGAGAGGAUCCUACAACCUUCCAGUAAGUAAAAAAAGGUUGCCUAUAAAGAGAUGAGAAUCAGACCUGUAGUGGACUUGGCCCUGGAAUGAUGAAGUCAAGGGAGCAAUGUCUACAAAGUUCUGAGGGAAAAGGGUUCUCAACACGGAUAGGGGUUUGUCCAUGUUUAAAAGUAAAAUAGCCAUUCUCAAGGAAUCAGAAAGCAUAAACUAAUAACAAAAUUACCAGAAAAAAAUUAUUCAAUAAAAUAAAAAAAUCUUUAAACAGAUGAUAUGAAGUAAGUUACUCCAAAUAAUUUCCCAUUUUCCCCCAAUUUAAAAGUCAAAUGGCAAAGGAAAUAAACAACUUUGGAGUAAAGCCUACUGAGGAUUUUGUGGACAAAUAGGUUCUCAAUGCUGAGCUCAAAUGAACCCUUCUCCAUUUUGCUUUCAUGUGCCUUUUCUUCUAACUUCACAACAUCCUCUCCAGAACAUUCUUUGACACCACGACUGAAAGAAAGUUCUACCUCACCUGUGUUAUGUAUCUGAAACCAUUUUUUUUUUAAUUUUUUUUUUUUCAACGUUUAUUUAUUUUUGGGAGAGAGAGAGACAGAGCAUGAAUGGGGGAGGGGCAGAGAGAGAGGGAGACACAGAAUCGGAAACAGGCUCCAGGCUCUGAGCCAUCAGCCCAGAGCCUGACGCGGGGCUCGAACUCACAGACCGCGAGAUAGUGACCUGGCUGAAGUCGGACGCUUAACCGACUGCGCCACCCAGGUGCCCCUCUGAAACCAUUUUUAAGGAGUUGACGGAGAAUAAUCAAGAGUGGUGCAAAAUUGCAGGUCUUCGCUGUGCUUUUUAUUUAUUUAUUUUUUUUAGCGUUUACUUAUUUUUUGAGACAGAGACAGAGUGUGAGUGGGGAAGGGGCAGAGAGAAAGGGAGACACAGAAUCAGAAGCAGGCUCCAGGCUCUGAGCUGUCAGCAUACACCCUGACGUGGGGCUCGAACCCACAAACUGUGAGAUUAUGACCUGAGCUGAGGCUGGAAGCUUAACUGACUGAGCCACCAAGGUGCCCCUUUGCUGUGCUUUUCGAAAACCAACCAUAAGAAAAGCCACUGACACACUUACCCAGAACCAUGGUGCACCACCACAGCAGCAAGGUCAUACAGGCAGCUCUCUGGGCCACUGUUCUCAGGCUAUAGAACAAGGGAGAAGACAUCCAGGACUGAGUUAGGAGCAGGGGUCAGUGACACCCUAGCUCCUAUCAAUGUGAAGACUUAAUUUUAAUGAAAAGCCAUCUUAGCACCUCCUAGCAAAGGUAAUUAAUUUACCAUACCUCUAGUAAGUAGCAUUUCAUGUCUAGGCCUCUCAAUGGAAAUUCUACAUAGGUAUCAACUUUGUUUCUUAAAUAUGCAGUCCAGUGAAAUCGUUUCAGAUGUAAGCAUAGUACCUGGAUGAGAGAUAAGGACAAAGAUUGUAAAACAAAACAAAACAAAACAAAAACACCUAAUUUCCCUUUCAGUAAAAUUAGCUACUUGGUACUAAUACCUCUCAGUAAUAUUUUAGGUGGCCUAUCAGUUCUUUUUUUUUUUUUUUUGAACCUUGAUAGUACUUUCUUCCACAUACCUUAUGAUAUUGUGAUUUAUAAUAAAUAUAACACCUGAAAUUAAUACAACACUGUAGUUAACUGACUGGAAAUAAAAACUAGAAAAUAUAUAUGCUAAGGGUUUAGGAGCUGUAUGGAAAGGGGGUUAAGACCUAAUAUACACAUAUAUAUAUGUUAUAUACAUAUAUAUAUAUUAUAUACAUAUAUAUAUUAUAUACACUAUGUAUUUUCUAAAAUAAUUAUAUAUACUUUAUAUAAUGUUAUAUAUUUAAUUAGACUUAUAUAGUGUAUAUAUAUUAUAUAUGUAUUUCCACACAGCUCCUAAACUGUUAGAAUUUCCAAAGGGAUGGCCAUAUAGGUGUCUUUGUUAUGCCAAUAAGGUAACUUGUUGACUGCCUCAAAGGAUCAGGCGUGAUUGCCAGGGGUCCAAUCAUGUAAUUACAGAAUUGGAACCUUCAAUCUCCCCAACCCAACUCUCCAGGUAGGGCAGAGGGGCUGAAAGUUGAACAACUGCCAACAGCCAAUGACUUAAUCAGCCAUGCCUAUGUAAUGAAGGCUCCAUAAAAAUCCUAAAGGAGAGGUUUGGAGAGCUUCCAGAUGGGGAACCAGAACACUUCAAAGUGCUACUGUGCCAGGCCCAAACUCCACAAGGACAGAAGCUCCUCUGUUCAGGACCCUGCCCUAUGCAUCUCCUCAUAUACAUGUCUAGCCUGUUGGGCAGAAGCAUAAAGUAACAAGCUGCAUUUGCUGGGCUUCUGAAGCAGAGGUAGUCUUAUGGGACUGAGCCCUGAACCUGUGGAAUCUGAUCACUAUCACCGGCUUUGACAGUGUCAGAGUUGCACUGAAUUGUAGGACACCCAGCUGGCUGCUUAGCAGUGGUGUGAUAGGAAACCAUCCUCUCCACAUACUGGAAAUUGUGAUCAGGACACAUUAAUUAUACAUUCUCAAAGGGUUUAUUUACCUCUUGGUGAAAACUCUAGAGACCAAUAUAGAAUAGAUCACAUAGGCUAAAGUUACAAAAAUAAUUUGUCUUCUCAUCAAUCAUAAACAUUUUUCCCCUCAAAAUUGCAUAAUUUGAAACUCCAUGCUUACCUUGGGUAGUUUCUGAAUCCAAAACUUUUUAGUGGAUUUUUGUUUCUUUUUGCAUUUGUGGCACAUAUAUAACUCUGUCUCAUCGAGUUCUUCUAAGUCAGUAAAACUGCGAAGACAAUCUAAAACCAAAUUGAUUUUGGCGACAUUAAAACAGAAAGCCUUCUAUAGAGACAGUGUGCUAUAGAAAACAGACUGAACUUUGAAGCUGGACAACUAUGGCUCAAAUCUCAGCUUUAUUAACUUUGUGACCUUGGAAAAGUCAGCCUUUCUUGGUUGCAAAAUGGAUACCAAAAAACCCCAAACAAACCCACUCUGAAGAACUGCUGUGAGGAAAAUAACGUGUGAAGUUUCUGGCCAUCAUGUCUGACAUCUGGUAGUGAUCAGCUAACAACAGGUGAUACGGUUAUUGGGUUUGUUGCUUUUAAUGAAGAAUUAGUCUGGAUCAUUUUGAUGAAAAUGGUUUCCUUAAAUCCAAGUUUGAGCAGCAACUUUCUCUCAAUGUCUUACGUUAUAGUUGGACAAAGUCAGAUCCAACAUUUUCAGUCAUAACUUACUUAAAAAAACAUGGAUUGCAGGAAACGACAUUAAUGACCUUCCUACUAUACCUCCAGUGAAUCCUUUGUUCC